rnacentral:rRNA from 1 species
UACGGAGGGGGCAAGCGUUGUUCGGAAUUAUUGGGCGUAAAGGGCACGUAGGUGGACUAGUAAGUUAAAAGUGAAAUACCAAAGCUCAACUUUGGAGCUGCUUUUAAUACUGCUAGACUAGAGGUCGAAAGAGGAUAGCGGAAUUCCUAGUGUAGAGGUGAAAUUCGUAGAUAUUAGGAGGAACACCAGUGGCGAAGGCGGCUAUCUGGUUCGAUACUGACACUGAGGUGCGAAAGCG